rnacentral:ribozyme from 1 species
UGCCCAGCAACUCCUAUCCCUACCUACCUCGUGGUACUGGCCGGGGUACGAGUAACCUUGGGGAAGAUCGGGUAACCAACCCCCGGUGGGUACUUUGGUCGUAUGCUGACAGGGAAGG